UGCUCGAUUUUAAUAUUAUUUUAAGGUAUAAUUAAAUGAACUACUCAGCGUUUUGUUCGCGUACCCCCUUUUGUCACCUCACGUACCCCAGUUUGGGAACCACUGGUGUAACAAAUGGACGGAUGUCACGGUUUGGUUCAUGCAGUUGUUAGAUGACAAAUACCAUUGUAAAAAUUAGUCACACAACUCCAAUCCAGAAGGGGGCGCGCGCGGUGAUGCAUUGUACCCUAACCACUAUUAACCAGCAUUAACCACCAAUAAUCGCAAUAAGCUCUGUGUUUCGUUACUUUCGACAAAAAACAAAGUGUCGUAUUUAAAGUUUUGCCGAUUUUAUCACGAAUUUCAAACAAUAAAUGCCGUUUUGACGCUUUUUGUUGUGGUGUAACAGACGCUGUAUUGGCGCCUCAGUUCAAGCGGAAGCGCAGAGCGCGAGUGAACGCCAUCGCCAUCAUCUCUUCCUCUUCACUACUAGAUACAGAAUGAACAUGAAAGAACAUCUGGACUGAAGCACUCAGAAGAGGAACAACAACCAUAUUUAGCUGCAGUGUGUACAUGGCCGAGACUUAGAGAGACUUUCCUGACUUCCUGUUAUGAUGAAGACACUAGCGGUACACCUUGGAGCUGUCCCAUAACCUGAUUACUUUUCCAAUUUCAUGUCUCUGGUAAACAACCCUUUCCAAUGAAGCUUGAGAACCGGAGGACAAUGAGCGGCCCCAUUGUGCCCUGUACUCAUAAAGGAUUACAGAGAGAAGAAAGUGACAAAUCCAAGCCUCAUUCACCGUCUGAUGAUCCUGCUUCCACCACAUUGGACAUAGACACUGAGGCAAGGGGGGGUCGGGGUUGGGGAAAAAGGACUGCUAUUGAGUUUGUUUGAGCUGCACAUGGCAUGAAAAGGUUAAAGGCAUCAGUAGAGUAAAGCGCUGGGGUGAUUGUAACACAAGAACCUAAUCAUAGGCUCUAUCAGCUGAGCCAUCCCUGACCCUGUCAUAACCAUAUUCCAUUGUUUCUGUUUACAGGCCAGAAGAAGGAAAGCAAGCGGAGAAAAAACCCAAAGGCUGGCAAUAUUGAUUCUUGUCCCCUCAUAUUGAAACCAGAUAUUGAUUUUCUUUCUUUUUUUAAAUAGGAAAAAGUGCAUUGUCCAAAUGAAAGAGAUUUCUUUUGGGAUUUGGCAAGAGAGGAGCUGAAAUGAGCAUCCUUUGGAACAUAGUCUCUUGCGGAUUUGGUACAGGAGCUGGUAAUUGAAUCCAGCAAAUGGGCUCGUGCAUUUGCUGUGAGAGUUUUUGGCCGGAGAAAGGGAAAUAUCAUGCCUCUGACAAAGAGGAUUUAUUCUCUUUCCACCCAUCAUAUUUAGCCUUAAUAGCCUUGAUUUUUUUUUUUGUUGUUGUUCGUUCAGUACUGUAUUAGUCAAGAAUGAUGGAGUAAAUGAUAUGACUCUGUAAUGGUUAUGACAUCACAGUGUGUGUUACCCCGAUCACGGUGGCUGCCUCCCAUCACUGUCUCUUGAUUAGCCCGCCGACGUUCGCCAGCAUCUAUUUCACAUUCAGGGGGCGUUUGCUCGUCUCCCACUCAAUUUGCAAUUAAGACAAAAUUUAGACCACUGAAGCCUGAAGGCAGGUGGGUGUCCUCAAAGCAUGUUGCUUAGCAACUGUCAUAGAGCAAGGCCUGGCACCUGUGCAGCAGGGGGCAGCGUGGAGAAGAAGUGGGAGACGGGGUAAAGCCUCCAUCAUGGAUGUGUCUGAGAGGCUGAGAUAUAGGAGUCGGACUUAGGGCGCACAGGGGGGAGGAAAGCUUAUCUUAGCCAGCCAUGGUUGAGUGGUAGCAGACAGACAGACAGAGCCCACGGCUGGAGCCCCACCCCACCUCGAGGCGGCUCGGGUCAGGGCCAAAGGGGACUAUAGCCCCAGCCCCGACAUGGGUCCGACACUGUUAUCCCCCCAAUCUCCUGGGAGCUGUAUCAGUGUGAACGUGCAGUGUGCAGGGAAAGGGACAGGGGGCACUGAUGCUAUCGCUGUCUCUGAAUGUUGAGUCCUGGGGGACGGCCUUGCCUGGAGAUGAUCAAACCCUCUUAGGUCUCUGAAGAGAAAAACGAUGAUUUGCAGACAGUGACCCCCAUUACCGAGAGGCUUUCUGACUGAUGGACUUGGAAAAUCAGAGUUAAAUGAUCACCUAAGUUAUCACAUAUCAGCUAUUAGGUUUCUGAUAUCUUAUACAGUGUUGGGGAUUGUUACUUUUAAGAGUAAUCUGUUACAAUAUUGUGCUACUCAUUUUAAAACUAAAUGUUGCAUUGUUACUGUUUAUGGAAAUGAAUGUUUAAUUACUUAUACAUUACAUUUUCUCACCUUUGUCUCCACUAGAGUUAAAUUGAUGUGCUUGAUGCAUUUGUAAGUGCUUUUUUGUGCACUGGAGAAAUGUUUAUUCUGAUUUUUCAUGCGUGAUGAUUAAAUUUACACUGGAAUCAGAGGUGCAGGAAACAUACAUCAUGCAUAUAAAUGUUUAAUUUUUAACAAAAUAUUCUUUUGAUUGAAUAUGUGUAGCUAUUUUUAAUAUUAAAAAUAAUAUAUUUAUAAUUUUUAUAAUAUAACUAAUUUAUAAUAUUUUUAGAAUUAUUAGAACUUUUUUUUCAGUACAUGUAUUGUGUAAAUAUUUGUAUGAACAUAAAAACAUAGACAUAAACAGAACAAAUUUCUCAAACAUUUGAUGAACAGAAAUAGAAUAAUGAGUCGUUGAACAAUAUCCAUCCAUCCAUCCAUCCAUAUCAAAAGUAGUGGUAAGUAACUGAUGUGGCCACUAGCUGCUUUAAGUGCUGCAGUGCAUCUCAUCCUCAUGCACUGAUAAAAACGAUUCUGUGGUGAAGUAAGUGCAACUUAAAAAUAAAUGUAAAAUCUGCAUGAAUAAGUUAGUUCAGGCAAGAAUUAAAAAAAAAAACUAAGUCAAUUCUAUUUUAGAACUCAAUUCAAGCUUGCAGAAAUUAAAGCGUAAAUAUCAACAUUAUAAAAUGAAGUAAAACUGCUCAUCUUUUCAGAUACUGGUGUUCCCAUCAUGCACUGGGCCUUGAAUAAUUAAUGAGUUUUUUUUUUUUUCACUGUUUCUCAGCUGUAUUUACAUUGUUGUAUCAUUGCCUUUGUUGUUAGGUUUAGUAACUUGCCAUUUUGUGACAUUUGGAGUUAAUUUUCGACUGAAAAUUACAUUCAUACUCAAAAACGAUCCAUCGAAUGUUACGGUCAUUGUGUAUUGUGUAGUAAGUAUUGAGGUCACGGUGUUCAGAUGCCACAUUACUUCUGGUGUCUACACAGUAUCUAUUGUAUUAUUUACUUGGAUGUUUCUAAGUAGAACAUACAUUUUAAAAGUGUGGUUUAAUUAAGUUUUAUAUUGUUAGAGUAAAACGUAUUGCAAAGGAAAUUAUUUAACCUUUUACUGGCCAAGUUCAAAUUACUUCCUCAUGCCUCCCUUCUGCAGGACUAUGGCAUGUUCUCACAGGUGAUCAGGGAGCCUUGGCAUCUUUCUCCUGGUGUUUUUCAGAAUCAGUACAAAGGUUAAGUUAUUGGAACUGUGACCUUAAUUGUCUCCCACCUGUAAAGCCUAUAUUAAAUAUGUUCAUCGUAUAAAGUGAUCGAGUUUCUUCAGAAAAUUUGGACUAAACUGCUCUAUUCAUAU